GGCCUGCUAUUAUAUAGAAGUAAGACUAGAGUGUCCGUUUUUUAAACCCAUAGCUAUAAUAUGGAAACCCCGGUCGAUAUUGUAUUUAACCAUAUCAUAAUGUCAUAUAAUUAAAUAUAAAAAAAAAAAA